UUAUUUUUUUUUAAUUUUUCACUCUCUUUUUCCCCCUUCUCCGACAGCUUCCUCUCCCUCUUAUUUUCCCCCAACGUUUUCUCCCAUUCUCAUCUCAGAUCUGAACCCCAAGAUUUCCUCAACAAUUUUCCUAUUCCAUUACCCACGUCCUCAUUUCUCUCAUCUCAGAUCUGAACCCCAAGAGUCUCAACAGAUGCUCUCCCUCAUUUUUUCUCUCUCUGUGUUCUCAAAUUAGUCUUAUUGCUCCUCAAGUUGCCAUAGCUAACCGCCACACACCAAGGCAGCAAGCCUUUGCCAGUCCAGCAACAAACUGAGCGCCGUUACCCACAGCUCCCUCAGCCACGAUCAGAUAGACGUCUUUAGCCACGGCACGGAGAAGUUCAGUAACGUCUCCCGCCACGGUAGCUAGGCUAGUAGCCUUUCCUGUCGUGACCCAAGUCACCACAGUCGCGAUGCGAACCACCGUACCUACACCACACACACGACGUCAACUGCCAGAACUUACCACGUGAGACACUGUUCUGUUGGGUCGCUGUUGUGCCAUGAACCACCAUGAAAACAGGCCAGGCGCACGACCACCUCCACCAAUUACCCCACGAAAAACGCACAAACCACCCAACCGACAACCAACAAACCACCACCGCCACCCUUGCUCCUUCACAAUAGCCAACCGCCAGGAACCACGUAAAAACGAGCUCCUGUUUUUGCUCCUCUAAACAGAGCAGUGUGCCGUACAGACCACACGGGUCCUCUGGCCGACGCAAGCCUCGCCAGCCACAAUACCCAACUCUACGGGCCACCACUCAUAGAGCUUCGUCGUUGGAAGAACACGGCCGGUGCUCCACCUAUAGCCACGGCCAUCACCCCUCGGUUGUUCCCUUUGUAAAAUUCUCUCUCUCUACAUGGAACACUCUCUCUACCUCUUGGUCGCUCUCACUCUCUCUCUCCCUCUCCUAGUGCUCUGCCGCCGCUCGUUGCUUCUUUCACGGUGAGUCUAUGACCCCAUAUCGCAUGGCUUCUCUGGUGUUCCUCGGUUAGUCUCUGAAGUUGGAUGGUAUUUUUAUUGAGCUAUUCUAUACUCAGUCGUCCAAUAUAGACGCCGUGCAGUCGGCUAUGCCACAUCAGCUACUACUUAAAAAAAAAAAAAAAAUUGAAAACGGAAACGAAACAUAAGCAGAGAAGCCUUCCUUCUCCGGCGUACACCCCUCAGCUUUUCCGUGCUUCUGCAAGAUUAAACUCAAGAACUUUCCCACCCAGUACGCAACAAUCCCUCUGGUCGCUCUAGAAAGCCAACCCGACUCCCAUGAUCGCUCCCUGGCCGCUUGCUUCACUCUGAUAAGGGGAACAACCCGAUCUUGCAGGUUGAGGUCUACGCAGGGCGGAGAGGUAUCGCGUGUGGUUUGAAUAGUAGGAAGCUGUUGGGGACGGUUGCAGUUGAGGUGGAUCUCUACGCAGUAGAGACAAGGGCAAGUAAUAUUCACCUGGGUUGGGUCAGUAUCUAAGGGAACAAAAAGGGCUCGUCGGCAGAGUUGUACUUGAGCGUUAUGGCUGAACCCGAUCCAAGAUUUGUGUUCUAGUUCGAUGGAGAGCCAGAGAUCCGUCCUCAAGUUUUUCAGGUCCAUGGGGAUGUUCGGCAGCCUGUGUUUUCUUGCAAGUUCAAUUUCAAGAACAUGAAUGAUCGAAGUUUGCAAUCUUUGCCGUCGAUCAGCGAAACCAUCAGUACUCCAGGAAGUUGCUUAAUGGGUUCUCAUACUCAAAAGGACCAAACGGGAAGGUCUGGGAUGGAGGAGAGGGAAAGUCUUGCAGCGUGAGUCUGUGUGAGCGAGAGGGAAGGUCUGGAAUGGAGGAGAGGGAAGGUCUUGCAAACCCUGUGUGAGCGAGAGGGAAGGUCUAGAAUGGAGGAGAGGGAAGGUCUUGCAGACCCUGUGUGAGCGAGAGGGAAGGUCUGGAGGAGAGGGAAGGUCUUGCGGCGUGGGUCCAUGCGAGCGAGAGGGAAGGAAUGGGUCCAAUGGGAUGGACGGAAGGGUAUGCGUAGCGGGACAAAUGAAAAUUCAAAAACAAACGAAACGUUGCAUUUUAUUUUGCCAACUCAGCAGCCGUUUGCAUGGCGCUUGAGAUAGGCGACUGUAUUAAACAUUUUAUAUUUUUAUUUUUA